GAUGAACGCUGGCGGCGUGCCUAAUACAUGCCAGUCGAGCGAACAGACGAGGAGCUUGCUCCUCUGACGUUAGCGGCGGACGGGUGAGUAACACGUGGAUAACCUACCUAUAAGACUGGGAUAACUUCGGGAAACCGGAGCUAAUACCGGGUAAUAUAUUGAACCGCAUGGUUCAAUAGUGAAAGACGGUUUUGCUGUCACUUAUAGAUGGAUCCGCGCCGCAUUAGCUAGUUGGUAAGUUAACGGCUUACCAAGGCAACGAUGCGUAGCCGACCUGAGAGGGUGAUCGGCCACACUGGAACUGAGACACGGUCCAGACUCCUACGGGAGGCAGCAGUAGGGAAUCUUCCGCAAUGGGCGAAAGCCUGACGGAGCAACGCCGCGUGAGUGAUGAAGGUCUUCGGAUCGUAAAACUCUGUUAUUAGGGAAGAACAAAUGUGUAAGUAACUAUGCACGUCUUGACGGUACCUAAUCAGAAAGCCACGGCUAACUACGUG
rnacentral:rRNA from 1 species